rnacentral:misc_RNA from 1 species
AGGAAGUUGGUGCUCCUCCUCUCCUGCUCCUCCCUCUUCCUCCUCCUCCUCCUCAUCCUCCUCCUCCUCCUCCUCCUCCUCCUCCUCCCACCCCAUUCCAGCACCAAGGUCAAAAGUGUCCAAUGGAAAGAUUUUGGAGGGAGGAGGAGGAGGAGGAGGAGGAGGAGAAGUGGAAGAGGAGGAGGAGGAAGACAAACCCAAGAUUGCCUCCAUAAGAAGACAGUUUGAAAAGAAGAAGGAAGAGGAGGAGGAGGAGGAGGAGGAGGAGGAGGAGGAGGAGGAGGAGGAAGAGGAGAAGAAGAAGAAGGAAGAGAAGAAGGAGAAAGAAAAGGCCCCCCCCUCUCCGUUCCCUACUCGAAGACCAACACUAACCCGCAGCUUCCGACGAGUUUGCAAAUUCCGACAUCUUAAGGGAACAGUUGGACACAAGAACACUUGCAUUGACAACCUCCGGGAUCUUUGCAGAACACUCCCAAAUGAAAGCGACGGUCUUGCUGCGAACGAAAAGUGGGUAGCAGUCGCUCUGAGUGGGGCUGGGGGACGUGUGGCAUGUCUAAACCACACCCAACCUGGCAGGCUUCUGGAGGGAGUCAUUCCAUCGUUCGUCAAUUCAAGUGGUGUGACGGACUUUACUUUUGAACCGUUCACCACUAACUUGCUGGCUGUGGCUUGUGAUGACGGCAAGAUUAACUUCUGGACUAUUCCUGAAAAUGGUCUGAAGGAGUCGACAAACACACCGACGGACACUCUGAUUGACCUCACCUCCUCUGAUAAGGUGACAGUGCUAAGAUUUCAUCCCACUGCCAAGGGUGUGCUGGCAGCCAUUGUUGCAGUUAAGAACGUGGUCAAGAUCUGGGACACCAAACUACCAAGAAUAACUAUAACUUUGCAGUCACACCCAGAUCAGAUAUUCAGUGGUGCGUGGUCCAUCUGUGGCAAAUAUUUCGCCACACUCUGCCGCGACGGACGAGUUAGGAGCUUUGAGCCACGGAAGUCCACCACAGCGCUCCUAACUGGCAGUAGCAGUGGUGGUGGUGGAAGUGGUCGUGGCGGGCGGCUGGUGUGGGCUGCCAAGGAUGAGCUGAUCAUAACUACUGGGUUCAAUAAAGUCUCGGAGCGUCAGAUCAGUGUGUACCGCAGUGUCGAUGGUCAAUUUCUGAACACUAUUGGUCUUGACGUCAGCCCGGCUUUGCUCUCUAUCUACUAUGACCAAGACACCUCUGUGCUACUAACUUCAGGAAAGGGGGAUAGCACUAUUUACGCCCAUGAAGUCGGCACAGAUGCUCCACACGUGUUUCCUCUCACACACCACAAAUGCUCCACUGUGCACCAGGGCCUGGUCACACUCCCCAAGAUUCUCUGCGAUGUUGCCAGCGUUGAGUUUCUGAAGAUGCUACGUCUAACCUCUUCAGUGUUGGAACCUCUCUCUUUCUCUGUUCCUCGGGUCAAGACAGAAUAUUUCCAAGAUGAUCUGUUUCCACCCACAAGAGUCGUUUGGGAGGCUGUGAUGACCUCGGCAGAGUGGUUUGGAGGCAGUAACAGGCCAUCCCACACUCUCUCCCUGCAGCCACACAACAUGCCUGCACGUAGGUAGUAGUGGUAGCA